CCUACGGGAGGCAGCAGUGGGGAAUAUUGCACAAUGGGGGAAACCCUGAUGCAGCGACGCCGCGUGAGUGAAGAAGUAAUUCGUUAUGUAAAGCUCUAUCAGCAGGGAAGAAAAUGACGGUACCUGAGUAAGACGCCCCGGCUAACUACGUUCCCGCAGCCGCGGUCAUACGUAGGGGGCAAGCGUUAUCCGGAUGUACUGGGUGUAAAGGGAGCGUAGACGGCAGUGCAAGUCUGGAGUGAAAGGCGGGGGCUCAACCCCCGGACUGCUCUGGAAACUGUACGGCUGGAGUGCAGGAGAGGUAAGUGGAAUUCCUAGUGUAGCGGUGAAAUGCGUAGAUAUUAGGAGGAACACCAGUGGCGAAGGCGGCUUACUGGACUGUAACUGACGUUGAGGCUCGAAAGCGUGGGGAGCAAACAGGAUUAGAUACCCCGGUAGUC
rnacentral:rRNA from 1 species